rnacentral:rRNA from 1 species
UGGGGAAUAUUGCACAAUGGAGGGAACUCUGAUGCAGCGACGCCGCGUGAACGAAGAAGGCUUUCGAGUCGUAAAGUUCUUUUAUAUGGGAAGAUAAUGACGGUACCAUAGGAGGAAGCCCCGGCUAACUACGUGCCAGCAGCCGCGGUAAUACGUAGGGGGCAAGCGUUGUCCGGAAUCACUGGGCGUAAAGGGUUCGCAGGCGGAAAUGCAAGUCAGUUGUGAAAGGCAGAGGCUCAACCUCUGUAAGCAAUUGAAACUGUAUUUCUUGAGAUGUGGAGAGGCAAGUGGAAUUCCUAGUGUAGCGGUGAAAUGCGUAGAUAUUAGGAAGAAUACCGGUGGCGAAGGCGACUUGCUGGACACAAACUGACGCUGAGGAACGAAAGCGUGGGUAGCAAACAGG